rnacentral:rRNA from 1 species
GACGAACGCUGGCGGCGUGCCUAAUACAUGCAAGUAGAACGCUGAAGAGAGGAGCUUCCUCUUCUUGGAUGAGUUGCGAACGGGUGAGUAACGCGUAGGUAACCUGCCUUGUAGCGGGGGAUAACUAUUGGAAACGAUAGCUAAUACCGCAUAACAAUGGAUGACACAUGUCAUUUAUUUGAAAGGGGCAAUUGCUCCACUACAAGAUGGACCUGCGUUGUAUUAGCUAGUAGGUGAGGUAAUGGCUCACCUAGGCGACGAUACAUAGCCGACCUGAGAGGGGGAUCGGCCACACUGGGACUAAGACACGGCCCAGACUCCUACGGGAGGCAGCAGUAGGGGAUCUUCGGAAAUGGGGGCAACCCUGACCGAGCAACGCCGCGUGAGUGAAGAAGGUUGUCGGAUCGUAAAGCUCUGUUGUAAGUCAAGAACGGGGGUGAGAGUGGAAAGUUCACACUGUGACGGUAGCUUACCAGAAAGGGACGGCUAACUACGUG